GCACAAGCGGUGGAGCAUGUGGUUCAAUUCGAAGCAACGCGAAGAACCUUACCAGCUUUUGACAUCCCGGUCGCGAGCACCAGAGAUGGAGCUCUUCAGUUCGGCUGGACCGGAGACAGGUGCUGCAUGGCUGUCGUCAGCUCGUGUCGUGAGAUGUUGGGUUAAGUCCCGCAACGAGCGCAACCCUCGCCUUUAGUUGCCAUCAUUCAGUUGGGCACUCUAGAGGGACCGCCGGCGACAAGCCGGAGGAAGGUGGGGAUGACGUCAAGUCCUCAUGGCCCUUACACCCUGGGCUACACACGUGCUACAAUGGCGGUGACAGUGGGCAGCUACUCAGCGAUGAGCGGCUAAUCCCAAAAAACCGUCCCAGUUCAGAUUGCACUCUGCAACUCGAGUGCAUGAAGGUGGAAUCGCUAGUAAUCGCAGAACAGCAGGCUGCGGUGAAUACGUUCCCGGGC
rnacentral:rRNA from 1 species